UGCAAGUCGAACGCACUAGCAAUAGUGAGUGGCGAACGGGUGAGUAACACGUAGGUAACUUACCUCUAAGACGAGGAUAACGACUGGAAACGGUCGCUAAAACUGGAUAGGAUCAUUGGAGGCAUCUCUGAUGAUUUAAAAGGGCUUUACAGCCAUGCUUAGAGAAAGACCUGCGGCGCAUUAGCUAGUUGGUGGGGUAGAGGCCUACCAAGGCGAUGAUGCGUAGCCGGACUGAGAGGUCGAACGGCCACAUUGGGACUGAGACACGGCCCAAACUCCUACGGGAGGCAGCAGUAGGGAAUUUUCGGCAAUGGGGGAAACCCUGACCGAGCAACGCCGCGUGAAUGAAGAAGUAUUUCGGUAUGUAAAGUUCUUUUAUUGAGGAAGAAUGGGUUAGGUAGGAAAUGACCUAACCGUGACGGUACUCAAUGAAUAAGCCCCGGCUAACUAUGUGCC
rnacentral:rRNA from 1 species